rnacentral:rRNA from 1 species
UACGGGGGGGGCAAGCGUUGUUCGGAAUUACUGGGCGUAAAGGGCUCGUAGGUGGCCAACUAAGUCGGACGUGAAAUCCCUCAGCUUAACCUGGGAACUGCGUCUGAUACUGGAGGGCUUGAGUAUGGGAGAGGGAUGUAGAAUUCCAGGUGUAGCGGUGAAAUGCGUAGAUAUCUGGAGGAAUACCGGUGGCGAAGGCGGCAUCCUGGACCAUUACUGACGCUGAGGCGCGAAAGCUAGGGGAGCAAACGGG